rnacentral:rRNA from 1 species
UACCGCGGUUAGACGGGCUAGAGCCCAAGUUGAUAAGCACCGGCGUAAAGGGUGGUUAGGGGACCCGUCUAAACUAAAGCAGAACAACUUCACGGCCGUGAUACGCAUCCGAAGAUUUGAAACUCCACAACGAAAGUAGCUUUAACAAUAGACCCUGAACCCACGAAAGCUAGGAAA